AUUGAACGCUGGCGGCAGGCCUAACACAUGCAAGUCGAACGCGUGGCGGACGGGUGAGUAAUGUCUGGGAAACUGCCCGAUGGAGGGGGAUAACUACUGGAAACGGUAGCUAAUCCCGCAUACCCUCGGAUGUGCCCAUAGGGGAGUAGCUAGUAGGGGGGGUAAUGGCUCACCUAGGCGACGAUCCCUAGCUGGUUUGAGAGGACGACCAGCCACACUGGGACUGAGACACGGCCCAGACUCCUACGGGAGGCAGCAGUGGGGAAUUUUGGACAAUGGGGGAAACCCUGAUCCAGCCAUCCCGCGUGUGCGAUGAAGGCCUUAGGGUUGUAAAGCACUUUUGGCAGGAAAGCGGUACCUGCAGAAUAAGCACCGGCUAACUACGUGCCAGCAGCCGCGGUAAUAC
rnacentral:rRNA from 1 species